GAAGGGCCCGGUGCUGUUCACAGCCGUCGGCAGUGCCCCGGGACGUCUCUUGAGAAUAUUUAGGGGAGGAAUACCAGCACUGUACCAGCCUGCAGCAGCUGUACCAUGUUGCUGAAAGACCAGAACACAUAUUCUCCAGGCCUAGAAGCAAGGGAUUAUAGAGGUACUUUCAGAAGGUACCCAUGUGACUGAGAAGUGUAUGCACCAUUUUUAAAAAGCCCCUUGCUGAGAGAUGAUGGGCUGGGUAGGGCCUGCAGAGAAAUCAAAUGGACGUUUUCAAAAACUGUACCCCUUAUUUUAAAAGAAAGGAAAACGUGAGGCAAUCGCAGCUGAUUCAGCAUCCGGCAGUCUCAGCCAAGUCAUAUUUUACCUCUUCCCUUCCCUCCCCGCACAAAACUUCCAGGAAAACCUGCAAAGAAAAGGCAUAUGUGGGUAGGAGGAGACCUGCUUUUAAUUUCUGUACCUCCUAUUCAACACAAUGCCACACAAUGUACAGGAUGCGAAUAUCCCAAGACACCUCAUACAAUACAAGUAACAAAAGCACACACACAUGCACAAGAAAGGGGGAGAAGCAAGCAUGGCAGAGUUACAAAGCAAAGUGCAGGUAAAGCUAUCUCUAAAGUAUCUCUAAUGUAAAGGAGCUCCAUGAAAAAUUCAUCUUUAGAAAAGGGAAAUGGGGGACUGGAGAAAUAUUUCAGUGAACAUGAGAACUAGAUUUCCAUUUCAAAGCAGUAUUUACCUAUUUUUCUCUGCUGUGUUGUAUGUAGUGGCCAGGUCUUCAUUACCAGCAAAGGAGGAGGUCCUAAAGAGGUCUUUGCACUGAGGUGCAACAGAGAUGCUCCUAUGGUUGGUCUACAGAGCAACCUGGUGUCUAUAGAGCACUGAGUCCCAUAGUGGCUGUGAUGAUAGCCUAAAGAAAUGGCUGAGGUUUGAAGUGUAUCACCACAGCUGUAAAGGUUUUCCCCUUCUUUCGGCUGAGGGGAGUGCAGGUAGGGUCUGCUCACUCCCAGGAAAUACCACCUGGCCUGGUUAAAGGAGAUCCUUCUGGAGAUGGGACCACAUCCAUGUCUUGGUGAAGUGCAAAGUGCCUGGAGCAAUGCUCAGCAUUACAGCUCCUGUCAGCACUCAGUGAAUGCAUCAGAGCCUGAUCAAAGAAAUCCAAGGUUCCUCCAAGCCUUUUGCUGAGGCAUGGUUCUGCAUAUCCAUCAGAAUGACCAUGCUGUGGGUGAAGCACUAGCUCAGGCACAAUUCACUCAAAGUUUGUGAGCUUGCAGAGUUUACAAGGAAAACACCAUGUCUGAGCCAGCCACUCUUUAACGUUUGUCUGGAGUUGCUGUGAGAUUUUUACAGCAAGGAUGUAUUGUUUUCAGAUAGGAAUGAAAGCAAAAUACUUCAAACAAUCAAUCAAACAAACAAAUAAACAAAACCAUGGGACAUGAUCUUUACAAUAUAUUUAUUAGAAAGGACAAUUUUUUUAACAUACAAAAAUAGGGCUUCAUAUGUAGAUAGAAAGACUAGAUGACUUUUAGUCACAAGGCCACUGACUGCUGCAUCAAAAUCCAAUGUGAAUAUACAGAGGCAGAGAGGAGAAACUGCAGGAAGCAGAAGAGGGCUAUAGCCAUGAAUCACUUCUCCCUGUGGAAUGGGGUCACUAGAGUAACUUGUUUAACUGAUUACGUAUUUCUUCAGUGUUUGAGAAAAAAAAAUGAAGCUGGUACUUUUUCAUUGUACUUGUGUGUUGAUCGACAGUUGCUAUCAGUGUGGUGUAAUUAGAGUGGGCAAAGAGGAUCAUUUUGUGAAUCUCAGCUGCCUAACUCUAUAUCCAUAUCACAAGCAAUAUCUCAUUCUUCCUUAAUGGAUGUUCAGUUACCGCAUCAAAUAUGUGCUUUGUUUAAUGUUAUUGGAAACGGCAGUAAGAAGAAGAAAGAAAACAGCAAAAAGCAGAGAAAUAUUUGUUAGUAUUGUAUAUUGUGAAGUGUGAUGAUAAAGAAGAUUUUUAUAAUGGCUCUUGGAAGUGUCACUAAUGGAACAAAAUGUCCCCUGCCCACCAGCAGCCACAGAGCUGCAGCUGUGUGCCGC
ensembl:lncRNA